rnacentral:rRNA from 1 species
UACGUAGGGUGCGAGCGUUAAUCGGAAUUACUGGGCGUAAGCGUGCGCAGGCGGCGCUGCAAGUCGAGUGUGAAAUCCCCGAGCUUAACUUGGGAAUUGCCAUUGAUACUAUCUGUCUUGAAUGUUCUGGAGGUGAGCGGAAUAUGUCAUGUAGCGGUGAAAUGCUUAGAUAUGACAUAGAACACCAAUUGCGAAGGCAGCUCACUACGGGAUUAUUGACACUGAGGCACGAAAGCGUGGGGAUCAAACAGG